rnacentral:rRNA from 1 species
GACGAACCGAGCGAACGUUGUUCGGAAUCACUGGGCGUAAAGCGCACGUAGGCGGAUUGUUAAGUCAGGGGUGAAAUCCUGGAGCUCAACUCCAGAACUGCCUUUGAUACUGGCGAUCUCGAGUCCGGGAGAGGUGAGUGGAACUGCGAGUGUAGAGGUGAAAUUCGUAGAUAUUCGCAAGAACACCAGUGGCGAAGGCGGCUCACUGGCCCGGUACUGACGCUGAGGUGCGAAAGCGUGGGGAGCAAACAGG